rnacentral:rRNA from 1 species
ACUGCUCAGUAACACGUGGCUAAUCUGCCCUUAGGACGAGAACAACCCCGGGAAACUGGGGCUAACUCUUGAUAGGUGAAGAACUCUGGAAUGAGUCUUUGCCUAAAUAGAUUCACGUUAUCCUCGUGAAUUUGCCUAAGGAUGAGGCCGCGACCGAUCAGGUUGUUGGCGAGGUAAUGGCUCACCAAGCCUUUUACCGGUGCGGGCCGUGGGAGCGGGAGCCCGGAGAUGGGUACUGAGACAAGGACCCAGGCCCUACGGGGCGCAGCAGUCGCGAAACCUUUGCAAUAAGCGCAAGCUUGACAGGGCUAUCCCGAGUGCCAUCCGCUGAGGAAGGCUUUUACCCAGUCUAGAACGCUGGGGGAAUAAGGAGAGGGCAAGUCUGGUGUCAGCCGCCGCGGUAAUACCAGCUCUCCGAGUGGUGUGGAUGUUUAUUGGGCCUAAAGCAUCCGUAGCUGGCUAGGUAAGUCCCUUGUUAAAUCCACCGAAUUAAUCGUUGGAUCGCGGGGGAUACUGCUUGGCUAGGGGACGAGAGAGGCAGACGGUAUUUUCGGGGUAGGGGUGAAAUCCUAUAAUCCCGGGAAGACCACCAGUGGCGAAGGCUGUCUGCUAGAACGCGCCCGACGGUGAGGGAUGAAAGCUGGGGGAGCGAACCGGAUUAGAUACCCGGGUAGUCCCAGCUGUAAACGAUGCAGACUAGGUGUUUGGACGGCCACGUGCCGUUCUAGUGCCGCAGGGAAGCUGUUAAGUCUGCCGCCUGGGGAGUACGAUCGCAAGAUUGAAACUUAAAGGAAUUGGCGGGGGAG